AGGAUGAACGCUAGCGACAGGCUUAACACAUGCAAGUCGAGGGGCAGCACGGGAGUAGCAAUACAACUGGUGGCGACCGGCGCACGGGUGAGUAACGCGUAUGCAACCUACCUAUCAGGAGGGGAAUAACCCGGCGAAAGUCGGACUAAUACCGCAUAAAACAGGGGCACCGCAUGGUGAUAUUUGUUAAAGAAAUUCGCUGAUAGAUGGGCAUGCGUUCCAUUAGGUAGUUGGUGAGGUAACGGCUCACCAAGCCGACGAUGGAUAGGGGAACUGAGAGGUUGGUCCCCCACACUGGUACUGAGACACGGACCAGACUCCUACGGGAGGCAGCAGUGAGGAAUAUUGGUCAAUGGGCGAGAGCCUGAACCAGCCAAGUCCGCGUGAAGGAAGAAGGAUCUAUGGUUCGUAAACUUCUUUUGCAGGGGAAUAAAGUGCGGGACGUGUCCUGUUUUGUAUGUACCCUGAGAAUAAGGAUCGGCUAACUCCGUGCCAGCCGCCGC
rnacentral:rRNA from 1 species